AACCUCCUUGCUGACUCGCCUAUGUCCAACACCACAGAAAGCAAGCCAGUCCCACCAGUUCAGUAAAAUAGGUUUUUCCAUAAUGAAACAGUUCCUCAAGGAGGAUGAUUCUAAGCCAUCUUCGCAGCCAAGCCUCAUGCUUCAGAAAACCCACUGGCUCACACUGACUGCCACCAUCCUUUGACAUAAGUACAGUUCGUGUUCCUGUCUGGUGUUGUUGUAUCCUAUUUAUGCUUAGAAAUUAUUAACUAUAUUAAGGUUAGCCUGGCCUAUAUAGAAGCCCUGUCUCAAGAAGUUAAUUUGGG
rnacentral:lncRNA from 1 species